AGAAUUCAGAGCCGGCUCUGUCUGGGGCGGCCCAGGCCUCAGCCCCAGCAUUCCUGACCCCCUCCCCCCAAGCCUGGGACAGCUGCUCCGGAACUCAGCAACUGGCUGGGGAUCGAAUCCCAAUUCAGCUUUUCCAGAGGCUCGGCCAUUUCUCCAUGACGACACAGAAGUACGGCGCUCUCAGGUCCUUACCUCAUAAUCCACAUGCAAUUGGAUUGCAGAGCGUUUGUGGGACACAAGAGGAACAACAGACCAAGACCCUUGAACCUCCCACAAACCUUGAAGCUCCAGGCAGUCGCAUCCUUCAGGGUGUCUCUCCCUGUGUCAUUUGCUGCAGCUGGCUUUUCAGGGCUGGGGAUGGAACUCUGGGACUCCUGCAUGUUGAGGAAGGAAGACCAACCCUGAGUAUGGGAAGCACAGUUCCAUGGGAUGAUGCUCUAGACUGAAUAAUGGAGAGCACCAACAUUCAUCUCUCUCUGCUCCCUGGAAGUGGAUGCAACAGGGCCUGCUGCUUCCCACUCUGUAGCCACCCACCCUGUCUGUACCAUCAGCGACUGUAUCCCUCAAACUGUGGACCGAAAGCCCUUCCUCCGUUAAGUUGCUUUUGGGGGAGGUGUUUUGUCAUAGCAAUAAGAAAAGUAACCAGCAGAGCAUGGUGGUGCACACCUUUAUUUAGUCCCAACACUUGGGAGGCAGAGGCAAUCUGACCUCUGUGAGUUCAAAGACAGCCUGGUCUACAGAGUGAGUUCCAGGCCAGCCAGAGACCUUGUCACCCAAACAGCAAAAUAAAAUAAGUCAUUAAUACCUAACUAGAAUGUGGACUGGGUUGCUAAAAGGUCUCCAUUCUAAUUCUUGCUCUCCACUGGGCCAGAGCUAUGAUCCUAAAUCCUUUACCUACAGAAAGCUUAGCGGCUGGGAGAUAGGAGAGAAAUGGAGAUUUGAGGGGUUGGGGAUUUAGCUCAGUGGUAGAGCGCUUGCCUAACAAGCACAUGGCCCUGGGUUCAGUCCUCAGUUCUGAAAAAUAAAAAAAGACAAAAUAACAAGAAAUG
ensembl:lincRNA 2810433D01Rik RIKEN cDNA 2810433D01 gene